ensembl:lncRNA
UUAUUUAAAGAGACAGGCAGGCAGACAAAUCCAAAACGUGAUCCAAAACGUAAUUCAUAAACAGGCAAGAGGUCAGGCGAUUGGCAAACAGGUAUACACGGGGCUAGGCAGGAAUCUAGGUCGAUAACCAAAACAAGAAACAAACUAUGACGAUGAACUGGAAGCGGAUAUCCAGCGCGAACUGACUAUGACUAUGACUGACACGAACUACACUAAUGCUAAACAUUCACUUCUUAUUACUUACUACUUAAUCUUCCGCGUUGUGUGCUGGGAAGCGCGCGGUAUAUAUGCGGACAUGAUUACAAUCGCGACUGCUAACAGCUGAGGUUAAUCCGGACAAACGUGACUUCCCAGCCAAUGACGGAACAGGGAGGAGACAUGACAAACAUAAACAAAACCAACGUGUCCCAAUGUCACUAAGGUCGACAGCGGAAAAGCAGGUGUUCGCGCAUUUGCGCUUAAAGCACACUGCUUCAAGGGGGAAUUGUGACAACUGAAGUUUUAUUCUGCUGUAAAAGACAACAACAUGAUACUUUGAUCAAUCCAAAGAUGAUAAAAUCCUGUCGUAGGUAAAAAAAAAAAAAAAAAAUUAAAUCAG